GGGGGGCAGCUUACCAUGCAAGUCGAGCGGUAACAGAGAGUAGCUUGCUACUUUGCUGACGAGCGGCGGACGGGUGAGUAAUGCUUGGGAAUAUGCCUUAUGGUGGGGGACAACAGUUGGAAACGACUGCUAAUACCGCAUAACGUCUACGGACCAAAGGAGGGGAUUCUUCGGAACCUUUCGCCAUUUGAUUAGCCCAAGUGAGAUUAGCUAGUAGGUGAGGUAAGAGCUCACCUAGGCGACGAUCUCUAGCUGGUUUGAGAGGAUGAUCAGCCACACUGGGACUGAGACACGGCCCAGACUCCUACGGGAGGCAGCAGUGGGGAAUAUUGCACAAUGGGGGAAACCCUGAUGCAGCCAUGCCGCGUGUGUGAAGAAGGCCUUCGGGUUGUAAAGCACUUUCAGUUGUGAGGAAAGGAAUGUAGUUAAUAACUGCAUUCUGUGACGUUAACAACAGAAGAAGCACCGGCUAACUUCGUGCCAGCAGCCGCGGUAAC
rnacentral:rRNA from 1 species